UGCGAUCGUACAAGGGGGAAGCCAAGGGGAAACCCUAAGUCUAAAGAAUCUCACAAAUCUUACAAAUUGAAGGGAUUAAAAGCUGAAUUCUUGAUUCAAGAGUUAGGAAUUAGGAUCUCCUAACUAUAUUUGAUCUCAAGAACAAAGAAAGAGGAAUGAGCAAGUUACUCCAAGUCGUAAGGGACACAAGACCACGGUAAAUCCCGCUCUUGGCGAUGCGAGCUCGGACCGAACACACUACAUAGCCCUUUAUGCGCUUCCGGUUAAAGUCGUCUUUUGUAAAUGGGUCAAAACGUUUUCAUAAUGUAAAUGUUAAAUUUAUGUCUAGGAUGUUUCCUAAGUAAGUUGGGAUUUUAAAUCUUGUAUGGUUAUUACUUUUAUAUCUUUUGAAACAUGUCGUAGAAUGUAUUUUGGAAUGAUUUCAUUAUAAAGCAGGAAAACGUUUACUUUA